rnacentral:sRNA from 3 species
AACCUUCGGGUUGCAGCCUGAGUAACAUUAGGCUGAUGGCUGGUGACUGUUUAGGUCACCAGCCU